rnacentral:rRNA from 1 species
GAUGAACGCUGGCGGCGUGCUUAACACAUGCAAGUCGAACGAAGCACUUUAUUUGAUUUCCUUCGGGACUGAUUAUUUUGUGACUGAGUGGCGGACGGGUGAGUAACGCGUGGGUAACCUGCCUUGUACAGGGGGAUAACAGUUGGAAACGGCUGCUAAUACCGCAUAAGCGCACAGCAUCGCAUGAUGCAGUGUGAAAAACUCCGGUGGUAUAAGAUGGACCCGCGUUGGAUUAGCAAGUUGGUGAGUUAACGGGCCACCAAGGCGACGAUCCAUAGCCGACCUGAGAGAGUGACCGGCCACAUUGGGACUGAGACACGGCAGGAACUCCUACGGGAGGCAGCAGUGGGGAAUAUUGCACAAUGGGCGAAAGCCUGAUGCACCGACGACGCGAGAGCGAUGAAGUAAUGCAGUAUGUAAAGCGCUAGUAGCAGGGAACAUAAUGACGGUACCUGACCAAGAAGCCACGGCUAACUACGUG